rnacentral:lncRNA from 1 species
GAAUAUAUAUUUAUGCUGUUUGUCGACUCAAAAUUAGGAGCAGGAGGGAGGUUUGCCAAGUAUAAAUGCUAGAAUCAGGAAUUUUGUUUGAGCAAUCAAUUUAUAGACAUGAGACGGACUCAAGCGUAAUGCUUUAUAUUUCUUGGGUCUGUGGUUAUUGAAAUGACUAAAUCCGGCCAGUGAGGUUGUGACAGAACUCCAAAUAUUUUUCUUAAGUCGGUUCAGAGGUCUUCGUCACCUCAUGAUUCUCAUUUGCAAAUAGGUAUUAUCUUUUUCGAAAACCAUUUUAUUUCAGCAAAAUCGAAACUGGCUUCCUGUAAAAUUAAGAUGGACAUGCAAGUGAUCUCCUCUCCUCUACAUGCAUGUUGUUAUUUUGGAUACUACAUCUAAGAGGGGACAAAUAUUGUUUGAGGACAAGGAUCGUGUAUUUGGACUUUCAUUCUAUCUUUGUUUGUCGUUCCGUUUGUUUCUAUAUUUGUCAGUUGUUUAUUCUCCAUUUUCUUGUCUGUAACUAAUAUUUCCAACAAAUGCGUG